rnacentral:rRNA from 1 species
AUUGAACGCUGGCGGCAUGCUUUACACAUGCAAGUCGAACGGUAACAGGCCGCAAGGUGCUGACGAGUGGCGAACGGGUGAGUAAUGCAUCGGAACGUGCCCAGUCGUGGGGGAUAACGCAGCGAAAGCUGCGCUAAUACCGCAUACGACCUAUGGAUGAAAGCGGGGGACCGUAAGGCCUCGCGCGAUUGGAGCGGCCGAUGUCAGAAUAGUUAGUUGGUGGGGUAAAGGCUCACCAAGCCAACGAUCUGUAGCUGGUCUGAGAGGACGACCAGCCACACUGGGACUGAGACACGGCCCAGACUCCUACGGGAGGCAGCAGUGGGGAAUUUUGGACAAUGGGCGCAAGCCUGAUCCAGCAAUGCCGCGUGCAGGAAGAAGGCCUUCGGGUUGUAAACUGCUUUUGUACGGAACGAAACGGUCCUGGUUAAUACCCGGGGCUAAUGACGGUACCGUAAGAAUAAGCACCGGCUAACUACGUGCCAGCCGCCGCAGUAAUAC